CAGGAGAUUGCAGAGCUUGCUGUAGAGUUGUGGCAAUUCUAUUGACAAUGAGAUCAAACACACAAACCAGUCUGCCUUAUCCUGCUGACAUUUGUAUAAUGGAUUUGCCCAGCUCUGAUUCUGGAACAGUCUAUUAGAAGUUUAAGGGAUUUCGUUCAAAACACAGAAAAUUGAGCUACCUGCAGUAUAGAUCCUGGGCAGACUGGCUGAUAAUUUUGGGUUCCAGCCAGACGAGUUUUAAGGUAGUGCAUUCCAGGAGAUGAGUGUAAAUAUAGUGUAUUGGUGCAUACUCCAGGUGUACAUAGCUCACAGAGUGAGGGAUUUCAAGGUCAAACUUCAGAUAGGAAACUGGUGACAAUUUACAAUCUGGUAAACUGCUCAUUGAACAGACUGUCUUCAUUUAAGUUAGGUUUUCAAGACUAACAUUAUAGAAGGUGCUAGAAUUCCAUCAAGAAAAGUAUGGUGAAUGUAAUGAAGGAAUUUUAACAGAGAGACAGCUGUGAAAUUUUGUGUCAUCAUAAAUAUUACCUUUGUCUGUACACACAACAUUAGAUAUUGAGAAUGGUCUUGAGAUUACAUAUUGACAAGAUAGUAAAGCCAAGGCAGAUGAAAGAGGUAUGGACAGAACAGUCAAAGCACACUUGAAGGUUGAAGAUAUUUUUUACAUGACCACAGUUUGACCAGUCUAGACUGUGGCGACAAGAUCGAAACAUUGAUGGACGAGGCCUCGAGGGACGAAUCAUUUCUGUUAGAUCAUUAUCAAUGGUGGUCAUAGAUUAUACAAAUACCACUGAUAUACCAUAAGAAGUGUACGACAGACGUAUCAAGUUACAUCAUGGACUGACAGCCCAGGGCCACCUUCGAUCAUGAAAGUCAUUUGUUAAAAAAAAUACUAAAAAAUACGCUUUCAGAAGUCGGGGAGAAACGUUGACAUGUUUUGUUAAGGCCACACGCACAUCGUCUGAUGGCUUUCUUGAUAUAGAUACAUCAUUUUGACAGUGAACGAGACACAGUAACUAUGACUGGCUGGAGUGAAGAUAUCCUUCAUCUUUAUGGGCAUGUUUGGAUCAAGGAAUAAUUGCAA